rnacentral:rRNA from 1 species
AUUGAACGCUGGCGGCAUGCCUUACACAUGCAAGUCGAGCGGCAGCGGGAAAGUAGCUUGCUACUUUUGCCGGCGAGCGGCGGACGGGUGAGUAAUGCCUGGGAAAUUGCCCAGUCGAGGGGGAUAACAGUUGGAAACGACUGCUAAUACCGCAUACGCCCUACGGGGGAAAGUAGGGGACCUUCGGGCCUUGCUGGAUUGGCUAUGCCCAGGUGGGAUUAGCUAGUUGGUGAGGUAAUGGCGCACCAAGGCGACGAUCCCUAGCUGGUCUGAGAGGAUGAUCAGCCACACUGGAACUGAGACACGGUCCAGACUCCUACGGGAGGCAGCAGUGGGGAAUAUUGCAAAAUGGGGGAAACCCUGAUGCAGCCAUGCCGCGUGUGUGAAGAAGGCCUUCGGGUUGUAAAGCACUUUCAGCGAGGGGGAAAGGUUGAUGCCGAAUACGUAUCAACUGUGACGUUACUCGCAGAAGAAGCACCGGCUAACUCCGUGCCAGCAGCCGCCGUAA